CGUUGAAACACCGGAUCCUGUAGGACCACUAAGUUAAGCAACGUCGAGCCUGAUCAGUACCUUGAUGGGUGACCGUUUGGGAAUACCAGGUACUGUAA